GAAAACAGCUUUAUUUUCCCUGUAUCCUUUGAGCUCUGUGACAUCAGGUCUAUAGGUUGGCCGGAAGUCGAGUCCAGAAGGCCAAUGAAACCCAACCAUAGACCAAUGACAUCAGGUCUAUUUAUCUGACUAAAGGGCAAUUGAUUUAUUCUUUGUUUCUUUUAAAUAGUCCUUCCAAGGGACGCUGAAGGGCACUGUUUAAAAAAGCUAUUUGCUGUACACUGAAAUAAACUUUUAUUUGUAUUCACCCAAAAAAAAAAAUUUAUUUCUUAGGAAGUCUUCCUCUAUUUUUCAUUGCACGGGGAAAACGUGUAGUCUAGUGCACAGCCAUGGGUCAGCUAUGGUUGUUCUCUUUCAAUUCUUUCAUGAAGAAAUUACAGGCCAGCAAAGCCGCCCCAACAGCUGGUUCCACCUGUGGUCUAACCGGAUAAGCCCCAGGGAAGAACUCCUGAAUGCAUUUCACAACUUCUUUUCCUACAUCCCAACUCUUGUUAGCUUCAAGGACACCUCCAACCAUCACAACAGGGAAAGAACCAUUUCCAUCUUCUCCAGAUAAUCCAAGUCUCUGAACAACAGCUUUUACACUUAGAGCCAACUCCUGGACUGCUUUGAGUAAGAUCUUAUUUGCAACUUGAUCAGAAGCUUCUGCACAAAAUACCACUUCUGGAACAAGGGCUGCAAUCCUUGCCCAAGAUGUAUCUGCAUAAGUCCAGCUAAAAUCCCCAGUGAGAGGAUACCAAUCAACUUAUAUUCAAUUCAUGUUCUUCAGGGUGCUGGCCAAUGACCAGAUUUUAGGUUUCUGCUAAAUAUAGAAUGUUUCAAAGCAUACUUAGUUGAGCCGCAUUAAAUUCAACUAUGCCUACCAUAAAAGCAUUGUGAUAGAUAUUCCAAGAACAAAAGCUAAGAUCAUGCUUACCACAACAGGAAAAAAUGCAAAUUCCAAAAAUCUGACUUCAAGAGAGUUCAAAUAUUAAUGAUUUUGUGUUCCCAAAAAAAUUGCACCAUGUUUCGUGUAGCAGUAGCUUGCACAAAGAUUAGGACCUCCCUGUUUCUGCUUUUUGUUGCUUUUGCAACAUCAAACACUUUGUCUAUUUGACGACAGGCAUAUUUCCAUAAUCUGGUUACACUUAGGGUUUUUGAGACUACCAUAUCAGACAGAUAUUAACCAUGCUGUAUGAAGAGAGACAGCCUAUGUGAAAAUGAUCUCUCCUACCACUUAAAAGGCUUAGGAGAAGAAAAGUGAGGUUGAUCCAUUCAAUCGAAAUAUUGACAGCUGGAAUUGGCCUUCUGUCAGUUCACUUCUGAAACUGACAUUCAAUAAGGUUGAAAAAGAGAGGAGCUAGGAAGAUCUUUUAGGAUUUGAUUCAUAUGUCAACUUGUCAAGAAGAUGCUCUGCAUGUGUCUUUAUAGGUGUAUGUGGUCCACAAUCAUGCCAUCCUUCAUAAGCAUACAAUAAAAACAAACCAAUUUCAUUUUUCUACCAGGUCACUUCAAUUCCACAUUCUAUUCCACUCCAUUUUUUUUGCGACUCCAAGCAAAAUUUUUGUUGGUUUCAGCUCCAGGAGAAGAAUGAAGUGUAAAAUGGCAUUGACCAUGUGUGUGUGUGUGUGCUUAUUCAAAUGUUUGACAGACAUGCUUAAUUCACAUUUUAAAGCAACUAUUCAGUAAGUACUUGACAAUCAGAUUUAAGAGUAUAAAAAGCGAUACCCAAUGACUUCAUCAGGAGAAGAAAGAUCCAAUGCCUUCAGAAUUUUAUCAGUAAGCAUUGUCUGUGGACCACGACCAUCAUGAGCCCUUAUUACUGCAGUUAAAGCCUGAGCAGCAAUGCCAUAGCCACUGCAAAUUACCACACAUCACUAUCAUUGAAUUUUUUUAUUAAAGCCCAUAAAGUUAACUAAAGCUCAACUCAAUUAAGUGUUACUCCAAUACUAUUGGGGAUUCUAAAUGAAUAUUUGCCACCAUAAGCUUCAUGUCCAUUUGGAUCAUAUGAUAAGCAUGACACAUGCGGAGUUAUAAAGUUUGUAGAUACUGAUCUCUAAAAUUGUGAAAACUUUCUAUUAGGAGCACAGGACUUCAUAAAUUCAGCAAGAAUGCAACAUUUCAUAAAACGAGCAGCACAAGUCAAGAAGUUCCUUAUUUAGUUUAACUUUUGAAGCUGCACUUAGAAUGGCUCCUUUUGUUUCAAAAUUUUCAUUGUUCAUUACAACAUUCAACAAAGAUGCUGAUCUUGAUUCCUGUUAAAAACCAUUCCUUGUUGCAUCCUCAGGCUUGUAUUCAAAAACCCAGAGCACACGGACAUAAGAGAAAGAUGGUAGUUCCCUUCCCCAAUCACCUAAGAUGGGCCCUACACCAGAAGCCCAAGCUUCUCUACCAUCUUCAGCUAUUCCAUAAGAAAUGCACCCUGUACCAGCAAUUAAUACACAUCCAUGAAGCUUUCCCAUGGUCCCACUUGCCAAAGCAGCAACAGCAUCAUUCUGGACAUACAAUUUCACAUGGCUGGGGAAUAUUUUCCUUAGCCAACUUAGAACCCUUUCUUGAUCAGUUGGAUGGUUAACACCAGAAAUGCCUAAGCAAACAGCACGAACAGCAGAUCUAUUUGAACCUGAUUUUGAAAGGACCUCAGCCAUAACAUCUCCUAAUGUAUCCCUGGCAGAAGAUUCUCCUAUGCUGUUGUGAUUGGAGCAACCAGCAAUUGCACGAGCAAGAAUAGGGAGAGGGUUAGGAAGGGUUUUGGAGAAUGGAAGAAACGGCAUACAUACACAGACAGUGGAGGUGGUCCCACCAUCCAAACCCAGAACAACCCCAUCAUACCCAUCACCAUUUUCACAAUGAUCAUUAGCUAGAGCUACUCGUAAUUCUUGUUUAGAAGCAUUCUCAAAGGCCCAUAUCUCUCCAUUUCUUUGCAUGUAAUUAUCCAUGGAAAUGGAAACAAGAACACCUCACCUCUCCCUAUGAUCUGAGUGUGUCUCGGGCCGAGGAAAGAAGAAGAAAGAAAGACAAGAUAAAGAUUAAGGACGAAUGCCAACGUCAGCGAUCAGACAACCUUUUGUCUGUAUAGGAAAGACUCGCACUUUU
rnacentral:misc_RNA from 1 species